rnacentral:rRNA from 1 species
AUUGAACGCUGGCGGCAGGCUUAACACAUGCAAGUCGAACGAGUGGCGGACGGGUGAGUAAUGCUGGGGAAUCUAGCUCAUGGAGGGGGAUAACCACGGGAAACCGUAGCUAAUACCGCGUACCAUAGGAUGAGCCCAAGUGGGAUUAGGUAGUUGGUGAGGGAAAGGCUCACCAAGCCGACGAUCUCUAGCUGGUCUGAGAGGAUGACCAGCCACACUGGGACUGAGCCACGGCCCAGACUCCUACGGGAGGCAGCAGUGGGGAAUAUUGCGCAAUGGGGGCACGCUGACGCAGCCAUGCCGCGUGAGUGAAGAAGGCCUUCGGGUUGUAAAGUUCUUUCGGUAGCGAGGCGUUAACUACAGAAGAAGCACCGGCUAACUCCGUGCCAGCAGCCGCGGUAAUAC